UGCGACUCUACCUUCUUGGCUAAUAAUCCAGUGUAUCCUCUAGUGAUCUGCAUUCUGCCACUAAAACCAGCCCGAUCAGAUGUACAGGUUUUUCUGUCCCGUAUAAUGCUGCUUUUUCCUUUCAGUUUCUCUCAACUUCCCCUCAAUAUCCUCCUUUGUUAUAAAAGGAACAACUGAUCAGUGCAGGCUAUGGGCUCCAUUUUCAAAUACCAUGGAGGCUUUUACAAUAAGAUGCAAUGCGUCAGCUGAGAAAGCCAUGAAGAAGGAGAAAACCACACCUGUGGAGUAUAAAGGACACACAAGCAUUCAGAUAGAAGAGCAUUUCUUUCAGCUGUCGAGUAAGAUGUAACAAAGUUAACCCGAUCUGCCACUUUGUUUUCUAUGGCAAAGUGUUUAAGCUCCUCCAAGUAUUCAACAUUCUCUCUCAAGCGUUCAUCAUACCCACCUACAACAAGAGAGAGAUAGCUCAAUUACUCUGUAAAACGAAAAGUCAUGCCAGUUUUUUGUUCUCACAUCAGCAAUAACAUUUCAUUCAUGUACAUGCAGCACAUAUCUCAGUACACUAUUUUGCUUUCCCUGCUGCAAUAAUUGAGUUCCCCCAAUUCCAUGUUAAAGGCCACUAGGAGUUUCAUAAAGUAAUGCUAUUUCAAUCUUUCACUGUGAAACUAUAAACUUGACUAAGACAUUGUUUGCAAAAGACUAUUCCAGUACAGAUGACAUUAUGCCUGA